CAUACAUGCACUGUGACCCAUCUACGCGGUCUGGGUUACCACUGAUCACUAACCCUAACCCUAACCCAGUUAAAAAAGGUUCUACAACCAGAACGUGCAAUAUGCUGAAACAAGAGCAGGAUUAAAGUCCCGCCAAAACCCGUUGGUCAGAUUAAAGAAGGAGACUGCUGGAGGAGCUGGGGAUAACGCUGGUUGAUCGGACUCCAUUCCCAUUACUCCCACUGUCCACAGAUCCUACCUCCAGCCUGGAGUAGCGUAUCAGUCCCGGGAAGGAUCUGAAGAGAUUAUUACAGGACAGUGAAUACAUGGAUGACGGUAACUGUGAGACAGAUCUGUGCUCGCUUGUAGAAUCCCCUGACCUGCUAUAGUUCCAGGAGACUCCAAAGGCUCCAAGCUAAAACUGCAGGUACAGGAAUAAACUCACUGCAGACAGAAUUAUGUGCAAGCCCUAUGACAUCUGGAAAUCAAACUUUAAAGACGGGAUGAUGAGGAAACAAAGAAGCACAAAGUUCUUGUGGAGAAACCUCUGCACCCACAAGGAGAUGUGGUCAGUGUGUAAAUUGAUUAAGAGCUUAGAUGUAGCAUUUUAAAAUGUAGAUGUUUUAUGGGUGAAGUGUCACAGCAUCCUCGUAUUAUGAAGUUGAGAAUAUUAAAAGCCGCUUUCAAUCUUUUGAAGAAACCCAGGAUUGAGCCUGCUCUGAAAAUGCCACAUGCUGCCUAAAAACAGUAAUUAAUAACAAACUAAUCAACCCUUCACUAAGGAGGCCCAAACCAUACAGCUCUCUUUUUUCUUAUUAAAUGUGUAUUUGUCGUUCUUUCACACCACAAAAUUAUAUAAAAGCUGUAACUGAUUUGCAUAAAUGCAGAGAGAGAACAGAGAGGGCUGUGAACAGGAAGAGGCCUCCGAAUGCAACUGCUCGAGCAUACAGAGCCUGGUUUCAGGGGCGGAGGUGUCAACUAUUGCUUGUUUAUGGAUAAUAAAUGCUAAAUAUUUUCAGGGUUUUGUGGACUUU